GGAUGUAUCUGAGAGGGCUAUCGUGACUUUACCACCUUUUCACCUUCCAUUUCUUAAGGCUCUCCUAUCAAUGGUUAAAAAGAGUCAAAAGGUAGCUUUGCAAUCACACAUCCCAAAAAUCGGAUUAUAGCUAGAGACUCCUACAAACAGAUAACCACUCACAUACCGGAAACAAUUACAAAAAACAACUAAGCUACCAGACACACAUUUCGGCACCUGUGUGCACCUUUGUCUGGGGUUCCAGAUUGGCAGAUAUGAUUCAUGACCUCUCAUGGCUCAUGUGUCGCCCAACAUUUUCAUUCCUAGUGAAUCAUCUACCCUUAUCUGAAUAUAUGAAUAAGAUACCAGAAUGUUAUCGAUUUGGCAGAAUAACUAUG